UGGGGAAUCUUGCACAAUGGGGGAAACCCUGAUGCAGCGACGCCGCGUGAGCGAUGAAGGUUUUCGAAUCGUAAAGCUCUGUCCUAUGGGAAGAUAAUGACGGUACCAUAGGAGGAAGCCCCGGCUAACUACGUGCCAGCAGCCGCGGGAAUACGUAGGGGGCGAGCGUUGUCCGGAAUUACUGGGCGUAAAGGGUUCGCAGGCGGCAUGACAAGUCCGAUGUAAAAGGCGAAAGCUCAACUUUCGUAAGCAUCGGAAACUGUCAAGCUUGAGUGAAGGAGAGGCAAGUGGAAUUCCUAGUGUAGCGGUGGAAUACGUAGAUAUUAGGAGGAAUACCGGUGGCGAAGGCGACUUGCUGGACUUCAACUGACGCUGAGGAACGAAAGCGUGGGUAGCAAACAGG
rnacentral:rRNA from 1 species